GACAGAGGGGGGCAAGCGUUGCUCGGAAUCACUGGGCGUAAAGGGCGCGUAGGCGGGAUGGCAAGUCGGUCGUGAAAUCCUUCGGCUCAACCGAAGAACGUCGGCCGAUACUGCCGUUCUUGAGGGAUGCAGAGGAGAUUGGAAUUCCCGGUGUAGCGGUGAAAUGUGUAGAGAUCGGGAGGAACACCGGUGGCGAAGGCGGGUCUCUGGGCACCUCCUGACGCUGAGGCGCGAAAGCGUGGGGAGCAAACGGG
rnacentral:rRNA from 1 species